UGAUGAAGGCCUUCGGGUUGUAAAGCCCUGUGGGGAGGGACGAAUAAGUGCCGGUCAAUACCNGGCGCGAUGACGGUACCUCCUUAGCANGCACCGGCUAACUCUGUGCCAGCAGCCGCGGUAAGACAGAGGGUGCAAACGUUGUUCGGAAUUACUGGGCGUAAAGCGCGUGUAGGCGGUUGCGUAAGUCGGAUGUGAAAGCCCUCGGCUCAACCGGGGAAGUGCACCCGAAACUGCGUGACUGGAGUCCCGGAGAGGAUAGUGGAAUUCUCGGUGUAGAGGUGAAAUUCGUAGAUAUCGAGAGGAACACCGGUGGCGAAGGCGGCUAUCUGGACGGUGACUGACGCUGAGUACGCGAAAGCGUGGGGAGCAAACAGGAUUAGAUACCCUGGUAGUCCACGCCGUGAACGAUGGGUGCUAGGUGUUGCGGGCUUUGACCCCCGCAGUGCCGUAGCUAACGCAUUAAGCACCCCGCCUGGGGAGUACGG
rnacentral:rRNA from 1 species